GACGAACGCUGGCGGCGUGCUUAACACAUGCAAGUCGAACGGAAAGGCCCUGCUUUUGUGGGAUGCUCGAGUGGCGAACGGGUGAGUAACACGUGAGUAACCUGCCCUUGACUUUGGGAUAACUUCAGGCAACUGGGGCUAAUACCGGAUAGGAGCUCCUGCUGCAUGGUGGGGGUUGGAAAGUUUCGGCGGUUGGGGAUGGACUCGCGGCUUAUCAGCUUGUUGGUGGGGUAGUGGCUUACCAAGGCUUUGACGGGUAGCCGGCCUGAGAGGGUGACCGGCCACAUUGGGACUGAGAUACGGGCCAGACUCCUACGGGAGGCAGCAGUUGGGAAUAAUGCACAAAGGGCGGAAGCCUGAUGCAGCAACGCCGCGUGCGGGAUGACGGCCUUCGGGUUGUAAACCGCUUUCGCCUGUGACGAAGCGUGAGUGACGGUAAUGGGUAAAGAAGCACCGGCUAACUACGUG
rnacentral:rRNA from 1 species